AUGGCGUCCACGCUCGCACCUCCUCGGCGGCAUCACCCCCCACCGCCGUCGACCCGGACCAGCCCCGGCCGCCUCCUCCACCUCUCGCGCUCCGCUGUUCCUGCUCGCCGUGUUCAGCUCGGGCGGGCCUCGACGGUGUCCCCUCGCGCCUUCUUCGGCCGCGCCGACCUCGACGGCCUUCUGCAGCGCGCUUGGCGGGGCGCCAACGCGGGGGCCGAGCGCCUCUCCUUCGAGGCGCGACAGGCCGCGCAGCGCCUGGACGGGAGGUACUCGAUCUCGCGCCGCGUGGCCGAGGCCGCGCGCGCGGCGCGGGAACGAGCCGCUGAGAUCGACGCGGAGCUCGGCGUCGGCCGGCGAUGGCGGUCCUUCUCCGUCGACUUCUCCCGCAGCUGGCCUAGAUAUCGGAGGGAGCUGAGUGACUUCCUGGCGACUCCUAUCGGGAGAGCCUUGUCUACACUUACUUUCGUGUGGCUUGCACUGUCGGGGUGGCUCUUCAGAAUUUUCAUUUUCAGUACAUUCGUGCUACCAUUUGCAGCCCCUCUUCUCCUUGGGACCUUUGCUAACAGGGUUGCUAUUGAGGGAUCGUGCCCAGCAUGUAAAAGGCGGUUCGUGGGCUACCGCAACCAGGUGAUCCGGUGCAUGAAUUGCCAAAACAUUGUGUGGCAGCCAAACAGCAGGUCCUCGGGAGGCGGUGGCGGUGGUGGUUCAAGAAGCUCAGGGCCUGAUUACAUCGACGUGGAGUUCGAGGAAAAGUGA
rnacentral:rRNA from 1 species